GAAAACGGUGCUCAUAAAUCUAGGUCGCGGUGACCUGAUAGACGAAGACAGUCUUGUGCAAGCAAUUAGCCAAGACUGGCUAGGUGGAGCCGUGUUGGACGUACAUAGCCAGGAGCCGCUGCCACCCACGAGCCGUCUGUGGACCCUCCCCGGGGUGAUCAUCACCCCCCACAACAGCUGCAUCGCCAAGAACGCUGCCACGUUUGUGGCAGAGAACUAUGUAGAAAACUUGACCAGGUACAUCAAAGGCGAAGAAUUACUUAACAAACUCGACUUUUCCAAAGGAUACUAGAGGCACAUUGUAUAGGGAGGUGUUCGGCAAUUAUGUGGUGUCAUGCUGUAUUACAUAUUUGUUUUUUUUUAUGUAACAUAGAAUGCAUUUUGUACUUUGAUU